AUUGAACGCUGGCGGCAGGCCUAACACAUGCAAGUCGAGCGGAUGAAGGGAGCUUGCUCCUGGAUUCAGCGGCGGACGGGCGAGUAAUGCCUAGGAAUCUGCCUGUCAGUGGGGGAUAACGUCCGGACACGGGCGCUAAUACCGCAUACGUCCUGAGGGCGAACGUGGGGGAUCUUCGGACCUCACGCUAUCAGAUGAGCCUAGGUCGGAUUAGCUAGUUGGUGGGGUAAAGGCCUACCAAGGCGACGAUCCGUAACUGGUCUGAGAGGAUGAUCAGUCACACUGGAACUGAGACACGGUCCAGACUCCUACGGGAGGCGGCAGUGGGGAAUAUUGGACAAUGGGCGAAAGCCUGAUCCAGCCAUGCCGCGUGUGUGAAGAAGGUCUUCGGAUUGUAAAGCACUUUAAGUGGGGAGGAAGAGCAGUAAGUUAAUACCUUGCUGUUUUGACGGUACCAACAGAAUAAGCACCGGCUAACUUCGUG
rnacentral:rRNA from 1 species